rnacentral:rRNA from 1 species
AUGCUUCUGGGCUGUCCAUUUUUGAUCCAACGACCAUGUUACCUCGUGACCUGCCCCAGCCAUGGCGCCAUGGCCGACGACGACAACGCCGCCGCGCUCUCAGAUGUUGACGAGUACCCCCUUCCGCCCCCUCCCCACACCUCCUCCUCCAAACCCGCACCCCAUCCGCAUCACAGCCCCAACUCCACCACGUCGUGGCGGCGGCAGCGGCUGCUCGACCUGACGGCGGAGCUGGAGGAGGAAGCGCUCCAGGCCGAGGCGGCCACUUGCUCCUCCAUGCUCGCCUCGGGCCUCGAGCGGAUCUCCGCCAAGGCGUCUGCGUCCACCCUGCCCGCCCCGCUACCCACCUCCGGCAAGUACUCCGCCCGCCUGCCUAGCUGCCCGUGCUAG